rnacentral:rRNA from 1 species
CGCGAAGAACCUUACCAGGUCUUGACAUCUUUUGACCAUCUUAGAGAUAAGAUUUUCCCUUCGGGGACAAAAUGACAGGUGGUGCAUGGCUGUCGUCAGCUCGUGUCGUGAGAUGUUGGGUUAAGUCCCGCAACGAGCGCAACCCUUGUUGUCAGUUGCCAGCAUUAAGUUGGGCACUCUGGCGAGACUGCCGGUGACAAACCGGAGGAAGGUGGGGACGAUGUCAAGUCAUCAUGCCCCUUAUGACCUGGGCUACACACGUGCUACAAUGGACGGUACAACGAGUCGCAAACUCGCGAGGGCAAGCUAAUCUCUUAAAGCCGUUCUCAGUUCGGAUUGUAGGCUGCAACUCGCCUACAUGAAGUCGGAAUCGCUAGUAAUCGCGAAUCAGCAUGUCGCGGUGAAUACGUUCCCGGGUCUUGUACACACC